CGUAGAGAUCUCCAAGAACACCUAUUGCGAAGGCAGCCAGCUGGGACCAUAUUGACGCUGAGGCUCGAAAGCAUGGGGAGCAAACAGGAUUAGAUACCCUGGUAGUCCAUGCCGUAAACCAUGAACACUAGGUUUUGGGCUCGUCAACGGUCCAGAGCCGCAGCUAACGCGUUAAGUGUUCCGCCUGGGGAAUACGGUCGCAAGACUGAAACUCAAAGGAAUUGACGGGGGCCCGCACAAGCGGUGGAGCAUGUGGUUUAAUUCGACGCAACGCGCAGAACCUUACCAGGACUUGACAUGGAAGUGACCGGACGAGAGAUCGUCCUUCUCCCGCAAGGGAGCACUUCACACAGGUGCUGCAUGGCUGUCGUCAGCUCGUGUCGUGAGAUGUUGGGUUAAGUCCCGCAACGAGCGCAACCCUCGUUUCUAGUUGCCAUCAUUCAGUUGGGCACUCUAGAGAGACUGCCGCGAAUAACGCGGAGGAAGGUGGGGACGACGUCAAGUCAUCAUGGCCCUUACGUCCUGGGCUACACACGUGCUACAAUGGGCGUUACAGAGGGUCGCAAUAGCGUAAGCUGGAGCCAAUCCCCAAAAACGUCCUCAGUUCAGAUCGAGGUCUGCAACCCGACCUCGUGAAGGUGGAAUCGCUAGUAAUCGCGGAUCAGAACGCCGCGGUGAAUACGUUCCCGGGCAUUGUACACACCGCCCGUC
rnacentral:rRNA from 1 species